UUCCUUGGACUUAUCGUUCAAGCAUAUAACAUUUAUAUGAGACGGCUCAAACAAUAAUCUUUGCCCUUGAUAUUAAACUAUGUUAGUUUAACAUGUGAAAUGUCCGUAAAGUAUCAUCAUAUGAUUGGUUUUAAGGCACAUUUCCAACAUAUACCACCUCACAUGUGAGUGGCAAACUUGCAAUUAACCCAAAUUUGCUAGCAUUCACCCUUGGCCGGUUUUGGCUUUGUUUUUUGGGCUAAUUGCCCAUUUUGUUUUAGUUUUCAUACAACUUAAACAUAAUGGGCCUUGUGGACCAAAAACAAUUUUGGGCCCUGAGACCCGAAACUAACAAAAAAUCCCAAUACGAACCUCUCAUAUAAUUAAUUAACUAAUUAAUUAAUCUUGACCAUUUUCAAUUAAACCAUUUAAUUGCUUAUCCAUCUCAUUUAUAUUUCUUCACUUUCAUCCUUACUUGGUGUACGAUCCAUUAGGUUCUAAUUAGCGAGGUAGUGCGUGAUUGUUACUCUUAACGAUCGAUUGUGAAUUGAAACUACAUUUCAAUUCUCCCUUUGAUGUAGAUUAGU
rnacentral:lncRNA from 1 species